UUUAAGGGGUGCUGGGAUUCUCCCGGCUGAGACGAGGUAAACGAGCCUUGAAACCCUGGAACCUGAUCCGGGUAAUGCCGGCGUAGGAAACAG
rnacentral:ncRNA from 1 species